AAGGGUGCGUAACACGUGGGGAAUCUGCCGAGAAGUGGGGGAUAGCUCGUCGAAAGGCGAAUUAAUACCGCAUGUGGUUAGGGAAGACAUCUUUCCGAUACCAAAGCCGGGGCAACCUGGCGCUUCUUGAUGACCCCGCGGCCUAUCAGCUAGUUGGUGAGGUAACGGCUCACCAAGGCUAUGACGGGUAGCUGGUCUGGGAGGACGACCAGCCACACUGGAACUGAGACACGGUCCAGACACCUACGGGUGGCAGCAGUCGAGAAUUUUUCUCAAUGGGGGAAACCCUGAAGGAGCGACGCCGCGUGGAGGAUGAAGGUCUUCGGAUUGUAAACUCCUGUCAUUUGGGAACAAUGUGCAGUCGUUAACUGCGAUUGCAUUGAUAGUACCAGAAGAGGAAGAGACGGCUAACUCUGUGCCAGCAGCCGCGGUAAUACAGAGGUCUCAAGCGUUGUUCGGAUUCAUUGGGCGUAAAGGGUGCGUAGGUGGCGCCAUAAGUCAGGUGUGAAAUCUCGGGGCUCAACCCCGAAACUGCACUUGAUACUGUGGUGCUCGAGUACUGGAGAGGAGAUUGGAAUU
rnacentral:rRNA from 1 species